ACAAGAAAAACAACAAGCAGUACGACACCCAUAAUAAAAACAACACGAAUCGACUCACGCAUAACAAGAACAACACGGCGGAGGCGCAGCUAACUGAUUCUUUUGGAGAGGAGUUGUAUUUGGGGCUUGCCCCGCAACCAGGCCGAGAACAACAAAAACUACCCUUAGGUAGAGCCUGAACUGGUUGGAUCGAAUGAUCAUUGCAACGCAGCGACCAAAGCAAUCCGUUUGCUCUUGACUCCCGAUUGGGAGGUUUCACAGACGAAGGUCUCGUGAAUGGGCACUCAACAAAAACAAGAAGCCCAUACAGAAAACAAUAAUAAAGAGCACACACUUUGGGGGAGCUUCGGCUCCCCCAGUAGCUUCCCCAGCGUUAAUACGCGCCAUCGUUU
rfam:Pseudomonas syringae pv. phaseolicola 1448A, complete genome.